rnacentral:lncRNA from 1 species
GCAGUUGCAGAUGAAGUUGGUGCAAAGCAGCAGGGAUGAGGGCUGCAGUGGUGUGUCAGCUGUGGGUCACCACUGCGAGCUGCCUGCACAACAAAGCCUGUAAUUUAAUGCCCUUGGCAGUUAUUUGUGCAUCAGUAUCUCAUGAUGCAGGCUGACAAAAACAUUUCCAAUUCAGAACAUAAGAAAAAGUAUAAAAAUGGGAGUGAUACCACAUGUCUGUGCUGGUUCCCAGUCACUCUGAAUGGGUUAGAUGGUGCUUAUCUCAAUUUCAGAACAGUAAGCUUGGCCUGCAGGGUGGAUUUCAUGCUCUAAGUAUGCAGACAAAACUCUUCCUGGUUGGAGGAUAAUUCUGAUGAGUUCUCGAGUCACCAAUCCAAGAAUGGAGGUGUGGAAGGAGCCCAAGGGGAGCAGCUGCUUCCAUCAGUGAGGGAGCAGGAUGAGUGAAAGGACAGCAACUGCCUGAGAAGCCGUGAGAUGCUUUGGAAGUAGAGAGAGGGCUAUUAAUUACUGAAGCACCAACGGAGCGAUGCAGUCGUCGUAUUGUACGGAGGAGAUGGAGUGAUUUGGCCCAAACUGUGCCUCACCUUACAGUGCUCCCCAUUCACCAAUCUUAUUUCGGUUUACUGCUUUACAUAACUAACAGAGCUUCCAGCAGGGCUUCACUGUAGGCCCUCCUCCUCCGACAAAGCAGAUGGCUGACGGGCUCCACCAGCUUCUCCAGUUACUGACUUUAAUUGCCUGAAUGAUCUGUGUGUGCACAGAUCUGCCUGCACAGCCCU